rnacentral:rRNA from 1 species
AUGGCGUUAGCGGCAGGUAUGCCGACCAAGCGUCCCGUCUUCUUCCUCGUCUCUCUCGCCACGCUCCUCCUCCUCGUCUCUGCUGUCCAGUGCUAUGACGGCCGCCACGCCGUCACGCGCUCCGCCAUGGCGCGCCGGUCCCGUCCGGGGAUCCGGCACGUGCACCACCGCCGGACUGGGGUGCCGCACCGGUACAUCCUCGCGGAGAAUACAACCUCGAGCAGCGGUGGUGGCAAACAGAAGAACAACAGCUCGCCGCCGACGAGGAACAACAACACCGCGCCGCCGACGGCACCGGCGGCCGAGCAGGGCAAGCACCACCGCAACCACAAGCACCGCAUCCGCAACUGGAUCAUCGGGUUCGUGGUCGGGUCCCUCGCAGGCGUCAUUUCGGGGCUGGGCGUGUCCGUGCUGUUCCGGCUCGCGCUCAACUGCAUCCGCGGGCGGUACCGGACCAAGUCCGGCAUGGUGAUCUUCACCCCGAAGCUGAUCAAGCGGGCGGACCACCUGGCGUUCCUGGAGAAGGAGGACAUACUGUCCUCGCUGGCCGUGAUCGGGCGCGGCGGGUGCGGCGAGGUGUUCAAGGCGCAGCUCCCCGUGGAGAGCGAGGGCGAGGAGCCCAAGUUCAUCGCCAUCAAGAAGAUCAAGAAGCAGGUGGGCGACGGGCACGGGCAGAACAACCUGAGCGACGAGGAGAGCCGGCAGCUGGACAAGUGGUCGCGGCAGAUACAGUCGGAGAUCCGCACGGUGGGGCACAUCCGGCACCGCAACCUCCUGCCGCUGGCGGCGCACGUGCCGCGGCCGGACUGCCACUACCUGGUGUACGAGUACAUGAAGAACGGCAGCCUGCACAACGCCCUCAAGGCGACGCCGUCGGAGGAGGACGGCGGCAGCGGCGGCGCGGUGCGGCUGGCGUGGCCGGCGCGGCUCCGCGUGGCGGUGGGCAUCGCGUCGGGGCUGGAGUACCUGCACGUGCUGCAGCAGCCGCAGAUCAUCCACCGCGACCUGAAGCCGGCCAACAUCCUGCUGGACGACGACAUGGAGGCCCGCAUCGCGGACUUCGGGCUGGCCAAGGCGAUGCCGGACGAGCACACCCACGUGUCGACGUCGCACAUAGCCGGCACCAUGGGUUACAUCGCGCCGGAGUACCACCAGUCGCUCAAGUUCACGGCCAAGUGCGACAUCUACAGCUUCGGGGUGAUCCUGGCGGUGCUGGCGACGGGGAAGGAGCCGACGGACCAGUUCUUCGUGACGGAGGUGGAGGAGGUCGGGCUGGUCAAGUGGCUGCGCCGGGUGGUGCAGAACAGCGACUACGCGGAGGCCAUCGACCCCGCCAUCGCCGGCGCCGGGCACGAGGAGCAGAUCAUGCUGGUGCUGCGCAUCGCCGUGUUCUGCACCGCCGACGAAGCCAAGGAGCGGCCCGAGGCCAAGGACGUGCGCUGCAUGCUCGCCCAGAUCAAGAACUAG